CCCCCCUCCACAUGAUAGAUGCUUCAAUGAUACUUCAUAUGAUGGCAAAUGUGAAUAUCACCUAAUUGUGGUCCUUUAUAUUUCUCUAGAAGCAUUGAUAUGAACAUGAUGCUUUCACCUUUCUUAGCUUUUAACUUCUAUCACUCAAAUUGUACCAUCCUCUCUAAGAUUAAUCAUUUACAUUUAGGAGGGUGUUUGGUAUGGAAUAAUCC
rnacentral:lncRNA from 1 species